CCGGUAGCUCAGCUGGUAGAGCACUAGACUGAAAAUCUAGGUGUUGCCGGUUCAACCCCGGCCUGGG
rnacentral:tRNA from 1 species